AGUGAACGCUGGCGGUAGGCCUAACACAUGCAAGUCGAACGGCAGCACAGUAAGAGCUUGCUCUUACGGGUGGCGAGUGGCGGACGGGUGAGGAAUACAUCGGAAUCUACUUUUUCGUGGGGGAUAACGUAGGGAAACUUACGCUAAUACCGCAUACGACCUACGGGUGAAAGCAGGGGAUCUUCGGACCUUGCGCGAUUGAAUGAGCCGAUGUCGGAUUAGCUAGUUGGCGGGGUAAAGGCCCACCAAGGCGACGAUCCGUAGCUGGUCUGAGAGGAUGAUCGGCCACACUGGAACUGAGACACGGUCCAGACUCCUACGGGAGGCAGCAGUAGGGAAUAUUGGACAAUGGGCGCAAGCCUGAUGGAGCAAUGCCGCGUGAGUGAAGAAGGCCUUCGGGUUGUAAAACCCUGUUGUUGGGAAAGAAAAGCAGCGGAUGUAUCCCCCGCUGUUCUGACGGUACCCAAAGAGUAAGCACCGGCUAACUUCGUG
rnacentral:rRNA from 1 species